rnacentral:rRNA from 1 species
AUUGAACGCUGGCGGCAUGCCUUACACAUGCAAGUCGAACGGCAGCACGGGUGCUUGCACCUGGUGGCGAGUGGCGAACGGGUGAGUAAUACAUCGGAACAUGUCCUGUAGUGGGGGAUAGCCCGGCGAAAGCCGGAUUAAUACCGCAUACGAUCUACGGAUGAAAGCGGGGGACCUUCGGGCCUCGCGCUAUAGGGUUGGCCGAUAGCUGAUUAGCUAGUUGGUGGGGUAAAGGCCUAUCAAGGCGACGAUCAGUAGCUGGUCUGAGAGGACGACCAGCCACACUGGGACUGAGACACGGCCCAGACUCCUACGGGAGGCAGCAGUGGGGAAUUUUGGACAAUGGGCGAAAGCCUGAUCCAGCAAUGCCGCGUGUGUGAAGAAGGCCUUCGGGUUGUAAAGCACUUUUGUCCGGAAAGAAAUCCUUGGCUCUAAUACAGUCGGGGGAUGACGGUACCGGAAGAAUAAGCACCGGCUAACUACGUG